rnacentral:rRNA from 1 species
GGUGGCGACCGGCGCACGGGUGCGUAACGCGUAUGCAACCUGCCCCCAGUCAGGGAUAGCCCGCCGAAAGGCGGAUUAAUGCCCCAUAGGCCCAGGGCGCCGCAUGGCGCUAUGGGUAAAGCUCCGGCGGAUGGGGAUGGGCAUGCGUGCCAUUAGCUAGUUGGGGCGGUAACGGCGCACCAAGGCGACGAUGGCUAGGGGGUCUGAGAGGAUGGUCCCCCCACACUGGUACUGAGACACGGACCAGACUCCUACGGGAGGCAGCAGUGAGGAAUAUUGGUCAAUGGGCGGAAGCCUGAACCAGCCCAUGCCGCGUGCAGGAUGACGGCCCUACGGGUUGUAAACUGCUUUUCCCCGGGAAGAAUAAGCCCCUCGUGACGGGGUUGACCUUGCCGGUACCGGGGAACUUAAGGAUCGGCUACUCCGUGCCAGCAGCCGC